rnacentral:rRNA from 1 species
UACGGAAUGUGCAAACGUUAUUCGGAAUCACUGGGCUUAAAGAGUCCGUAGGCGGCAUGUUAGGUGAGGUGUGAAAUCCCCCGGCUCAACCGAGGAAUUGCGCUUCAAACCGGCGUGCUAGAGGAAGAUAGAGGUGGGCGGAACUGAUGGUGGAGCGGUGAAAUGCGUUGAUAUCAUCAGGAACACCGGAGGCGAAGGCGGCCCACUGGGCCUUUUCUGACGCUGAGGGACGAAACGCUAGGGGAGC